rnacentral:tRNA from 1 species
GGGAGUAUAGCUCAGUCGGUUAGAGCAGCAGGCUGUUAACUUGCGUGUCCAGGGUUCAAGUCCCUGUGCUCCCU